rnacentral:rRNA from 1 species
UACGAAGGGGGCUAGCGUUGCUCGGAAUUACUGGGCGUAAAGCGCACGUAGGCGGCUUGUUAUGUCAGGGGUGAAAUCCUGGAGCUCAACUCCAGAACUGCCUUUGAUACUGGCGAGCUUGAGUUCGGGAGAGGUGAGUGGAACUGCGAGUGUAGAGGUGAAAUUCGUAGAUAUUCGCAAGAACACCAGUGGCGAAGGCGGCUCACUGGCCCGAUACUGACGCUGAGGUGCGAAAGCGUGGGGAGCAAACAGG